AUGAAGCGCACAGAGGAGGCUCUGAACGUGCUGCUCCAUAAGAUGCCCAACGACCUGCCUAAUGUCAUCUCCUACUCAGUGAUUCUCAAGAGCUUCUGCGACAAUGGGAGGAGCCAGCUUGCGCUUGAUCUGCUCCAGAUGAUGGCCAAAAAAGGCGCUGACCACUCCCCCGACGUGAUGUCAUACAACAUGGUAAUUGAUGGCUUCUUUAAGGAGGGUGAAGUAAGCAAAGCAUGCGAUCUAUUCCAAGAAAUGAUACGACAGGGGAUUGUGCCUGCUGAGGUGACAUAUAGCUCCAUUAUCAAUGCGCUAUGCAAAGCAAGAGCAAUGGACAAGGCAGAGGUGGUUCUUCGAUCAAUGGUUCAUAAUGGUGCCCAACCAGAUGCUGUGACAUAUAAUAGCUUGAUCCAAGGAUAUUCAACUUUGGGACAGUUGAAAGAAGUCGCUAGGUUGUUGAAAGUGAUGAGAAGUCAAGGUGUUAUGCCAAGCGUUGUUACCUACAACUCACUCAUGACCUGCCUUUGCAAGCAUGGAAAAACCAAAGAAGCUGAGAAAAUAUUUUAUUCUAUGGCCGUGAACGGACGAAAACCUGAUGUCAUCUCAUACUCUAUUUUGCUCCAUGGGUACGCUAAAGAAGGAUCCCUCAUUGAUAUGAUUGAUCUCUGUGAGCGGAUGGCAAGAGAUGGAGUUGUACCCAACCUCCAUUGUUUCAACAUACUGAUUAAUGCAUAUGCUAAGCAUGGAAUGAUGGAUGUGGCCCUGCUUUUCUUCGAAGAUAUGUUGAAGCAGGGGGUGAAGCCUAGUGAAUUCACUUAUUUAACUGUGAUAUCUGCAUUUUGCAAGAUGGGCAGGAUGGAUAAUGCGAUGGAAAAAUUCCGUGAGAUGAUUGAUAUGGGAGUACCAGUUGACACAGAAGUUUACAUGUGCAUAGUUGAGGGUUAUUUUAAAAAUGGUGAUUCAGUGAAAGCCAAGGAUUUUAUUACCAAAAUGAAGAACAAGGAUAUUCCAAAUAGGCCGCAGAAGGGUAAUUAUUGA
rnacentral:rRNA from 1 species